AUGUCAAGGAAGAUGUAUAUUUGCUUGGAAGUGUUCAGAUUUCCCUUCAAGAGAAGAGAAAUACUUUCUGCCCUUCUUUGAUCUGGCUGGGUGAUGCUGUGUACAGGAUACAGAAUGUCAAUGUCUUGUUUGUAAUCAAGAUGCAAGAGAGAAUUACGGGAAGACUUAGGUGAAGGAUGAAAUAUCAACUGCAGAAGAUGCUCACAGCUCAAUUUUCAGUGUGCCAGAAAAUCAUAGUUGAGGAAGUCAUGAGCUACAUCCAUCAAUAAUAGAUGCACAUGGCCUCAUGUAUGGUGCAAGGGCCCUCUUAUACACUGAACCAUGUCUGGACCCUGAGUGACUCUCUCACCAUCAGAUUGUCUUUGGAGUGCUGAGAAAAAUA
rnacentral:lncRNA from 1 species